AAGACCUUCUGUACUCCAAGUCACACACAAAAUCCUACUGAUAUCUCACUUGCAUAAUAAUUUGGAACGCAGUGUAGUAGAACGUGAACUCAGCCACAAAAAUCCACCGCCCCCUGCCAUCAGCUUCCGCGUCUCUCACACACGAGCGCGACUUUAGAGGUAUAUUUAACAACUUUCAGACCCUUUUAGCGGCUUUUUUUCCAUAGAAUAUUCAUACUGACAAACCUAGCGACUUUUGGAUAAACCUUAGCUAUGGUUCAGUUGGAAGAUGUCGCUAGUUACUGCCCCGCGGGCGUGAGGUCUGACUCUCUCGGCGUCUCUUCUGUGCAGUGAGCGGCAGAAAAGCAGCACAUUCAGCUGGCCAUACUGCAGCAGACUCGUCAAUAAAUAAAACAGCGUGUCCAAGCACCUGACGCUUACUGACUGUUCGGAAUUAUAAAUAUGAGCAUAGUUCGUCUGUUAAUAUUAUGCACUUUUUUGUUUGUUGUUUUUUUUUUUUUAGUUUGUUAUUCAGACGCAGACAGUGCGCUGCACAAGACAAAAAAGUAAUAUAGCCAACACCUCCGCAUAGCUGCUCUAUAGUGUAGAUGCAUGUUGAUUUUAUCAGACGAUGUCGCGAUUAUAAAUGAGAGUGACUCCUGGUUAACAUGUAUUAAUGGGUCGUGUUUAGUCACUAUUUAGUGUGGAAUUUUUCUACAAUAUUCGCUCAUCAUGACAGUAAAAUAGGGCAUUCUAAUUAAAUCUACUGCAGUAUUUCCUCUCUCAAUCAGUAGAAAAUGUGGUUAACAACUGGUCAUGCAUGAAAAAAAUAAAUAUCGUCAUACACCGUGAAACCAGUAUAAUUUUGAAAAAUACCAUGAUAUAAAUUUUUGGUCAUACUGCCCAGCACUAUAAUAUAGCCUCACUAGACAGCCACUCCUGAAACAAUCCCAUUCAAUGGCUGGUAAUCAAGGAAAAUUAUGUGGGUAAGGGACUUACUACCCGCCAUCUAAAAGAGAUGGCUCUGAUCAAGCAUCACAUAUUGAUGUACACUGCAGCAGUAAUUUUGCACACCUAUCACUACAACCCUUAAAACAAAGUAAAAACAGUGAUUAUUUACAGAGAGAGACAUCGGAUGUCAGAUGCUAGAACAAAUGCUAACAUUUGCAUACACCCAGGGGCGUAAAUUUCGUAAAUGUUACAGAAUUUUACUGUUUAAACAUUUUACAAGAUGUAGCUGUAAUUCGCAAUGCAUUAUGGGUCAAAUAAGGUUUUACAGUUGUUAACUGUAUAUUUCCAUGUCAACUGUAAUUAAUUUACAAGAAGCAGGUGUUAUCACUGUAGCUCCUGCUUUUUACACUACUUUACUGUAGUGUGGCAUUAUGGGAUUGCGCGCGCAUCAUUCAAAUCUGAAAUCCAGCGACUGGAGCAGUGCCAGAACGAUUGAAGAUUAGAGGCUUUAUUCAUAAUUCCUGGUGCAAAGAAUAGCAGCUGAUGUGGAGAAAUGUUUGAUGCUUCAAGACUCUCUGAAGCUGAUUAUAUUAGGUGCACCCAGUGGCUUUUGACUAGGCCUAUUCGAGGGUCACACGGUUGUGAAUUCAUACCUCAACUUUGCGGCUGGAUUUUCAAUCUUAUUACAACUUCAGCCUGGCGUCCCGGGAGCAGGCGUCUUUUGCACACUUGAAUUAAUUUCAAAGGUAACAUGUUUUACUUGAGUAAUUUCAUUUGUGAAAAAGGUUACUUAUUUAGUUUAAGUACUGGUAAAUGCUGAUUGUAUUGUAUAAGUGGCAUUUUUACAUUUAUUUUAUUGAGCUAGUUUCAUUCAAUACUGAACUUUAUUCUAAAGCUUCUGCUUGUUUUUAUGUGCAGAUGUUUUGUUGGAAUCACAACACUCACUGGAUACAAGACGGAUGUACAGAGGCAAAACAAGUGGAAAGGUCUCAGAGAAGAGGGACAACCCUCAUGUGUGUGCUCAUCUCAGAAAGUUGAUGGACUUUCAGUAUGUAUUUAUUAAAUUGUCUUUUGCAGGAAUAUUCUAAAUUUAAUAUAACAUAAGCUCAAACAACAGAAUUUGUGGUAUAAUGUUGAUUCCAGCAUUUUAUUUUAAUCCUUUAACCAAAAUUAUACAAAUUCUGUUGAUUGAUCUUAAUUUUUUUAUAGAAAGUAAAUGUUCUACUCAGAAUAUGGCUUAUUUUUUGUGAUAUAACAGUUAUUUGUAGUUAUUUUGUGAUGCUAUGUUAUUUUUAUGAUAAGAACUGUUGAAAGACUGACAUUUUUAUUUUUACCAGUAAAAGCCUUGCAGUGUCUUUCUGCCAGUUUUAAUAAAUAUUUAUUUGCAACAUCUUUGACUUGGUUUUUAUUCAUUUGUAAAUGUAUUAAGAUAGUUCUCAUGAUAAUUCAUUUAAAUCAGUAUUUUACAGUUUACUGUUAAAAUUAUUCUUUGCAGCAUUUUCAUUGUUAAAUUAUUACAACAUCAUCUUGGAUUGGUUACGUACCUAAGGUGCUCUCAACUCAACGUUUAAGAGACCAGGUUAUCACCCAACUAGCACUCCCCGCUGCAGACGCUGAGCAGGGUCCCAAUCCACUCUGCCCAGUAAAGGCCCUUAGAGUGUGUGUCAAGCAUUCUAGUCUGUUUAGACAAUCAGAGAAGCUCUUUCCAUGCUUUGGAGGCCGUUCAAAAGGGCUGCCAGUUAUGAAGCAGAGACUUUCUCACUGGAUUGUAGAUGCUGUAGCCCUGGCUUACGCCUCAGUUCACUUGCAGUGCCCCAUAGGUGUGAGGGGACCACUCCACUAGAGGAAUGAUUUCCUCCUGGGCGUGGUCCAGCAGAAUUUCUAUCAGUGUGAUAAGUGCGCGGUCGCUGAUUGGUCGUUGUUGUCCACCCUUGCCAUAUUCUAUGACUUAGAUGUUCCUGCCCUGCAGGCACGGAUUUUGUCUGCUUAAUUCUACCCAUUUUCCCCUUGAGAGUGGAAAAGGUUAUGUCUUGUGGUCCUCAGCCUAUUGGCUUGGGUCUCAACUUUGCUCAUGCUUUGUAGGAGUCAUUGAAACGAGUGCUCCAAGGCUGGGCUUGCAGAGCAGGCUUCAUUCUGCUCAUAGCACGGUGCUAUUGGAUGUGUUCACAAUAGGCAUGGGACGAUAACCGGUUUCAAGGUAUACCGCGGUUUGGAAAAUUCACUGUUUCAAAACCACUAAAAUUUUCCGUUAUACCGUUCCUGCGGUAUGCACAGUUUUUUACGUGUCGUCAAAGACGGAAAGUGCAGGACUCCCUCAGUUGUGAGCAGUGAAGAGCAUAACGAGUCGCACGACCCCUCCUCCUUUGGUUGGUGCGAGCAAUCAGUGAGAGUAACCUGUGUGCAGGAAGAUGGCCAAUGGAGGUGAAUCCCUGGAACUUUUUCCCCCAUCGAAAAAGAUGAAGUCUGCCGUAUGGGAAUUUUUCAGGUAACGUAGACUGAUGUUCCGUAAAGAUGACGUUUUAGCGCCGAUCGCUAAAUAAAUACUUCCAGGUCAUACACAAACGAUAUAUCUGUGUCGUCUUCAUUUCUCCCUCUUUCACCCUCGAUCAAGACAGAGGCCCAUUCGCCAGUUGUUUCAGUGUUGAAAUAAAUACUAUUUGGCUUGCUUCCAAGGCAGAUAACAUGGCUAAUUAACUAGCUAGACUAAAGUACUACAUUUCUACAAUUUAGUACAAUAAUUAAAUUUAGCUGGUAUCACAUCUAUAAUUUUAAGCCCCCUGCCAUUGUUUACAUCAGUUCAAACUUAGGUCAUUUAAAAAACAAACAAACUGCUGGCUCUCAGGUGUCUUUGCCAUUGUUUGAGUGUUAUACGGAGAGAGACCGUGUCUCCUUAUGUGUAUGUGCACACAUCUUUGUACCUCACCGCUCAUAACUUGGACUGAAAGAUGAAUGUGUAGAAAGUGAGCAUGUCUCCAAAAACCUUGUUGAGCUGCAGGUUUAAUGACUGCAUUUUUUUUUUUUUACAUAAAUUAUGUUUUGAUUUAUGUUUUUGAUUAUUGAGCUGUAGGUUUAGGUUAAGUGACUGCAUUUUUUUUUUUUUCAUUUAAAAGGUUUUUUUUUUUACAGAAAAUAAUUUGUUCUGAUUAUUGUUGAGCUGCAGGUUUAGGCUCACUUAUGCUGGGUACACACUAAAAGAUUUUUAAAAUCUUAUAAGACCUUCAAAAUGUGAGAGACCACAAACAUGAGGACAAAAAAAUCCUAGAUUUAACCGUUUGGCUCCUAUAGUGUGUGGUGUGCUGCAAUGUGAUAAAGACAGCACACCACACACCAACAGAUUUUCAACCAGAGUCCCGACUGUGUACAUGGGAAAUCUCUCAAAAUCUCUGGAGACUUGAGAAUAAACUAUUUAAUUUUUUUUAAUUGCAAUUUUAGAACAAAGAACAUACAAGGGCAAUAACAUAAAUUACAUCAAAUACAAUAAUAAACAAAAAACAAUUAUAAAUAAAUAAAAUAAAAUAAAAAAGGAAAAGCAAUAAGAAAAUUACAUUUCCUUAAACAAGUAUAAAUAAUUACAAAUUAUUCAAAGAAUAGAUUUAAGGCUUUAAAGUCCCAGUCUUUGGUAAUGGCAGGAAGAAAAUCCUUUUGUGCUGCGAAAUGACUGCGUUUGUUAUGCUUCCGUCUUCUGUCAGCUCACUUUCUGAUUGGGUAUUGUUUCGUUUCACGUGAUAAUCUUUAUCACAUGUGUGGGGUUCCCCCCACACAUCAGGAUAUCUGAUCGUAAAUAUUCAACAUGUUCAAUUAUUUAUUUUAAUUAUUUAACCUGACAUUUUUACUGUUCCAAAAUGUUCUAUGUGUUUCUUAAAAAUAAAAUGUUGUUCAGUGGAAAAAACGUUUUUUACCCAGACAUUUAAAAAUAAAAUAUUUUAGAGCUGUAAUCGCAAUACAGUGAAACCGUGAUAUUUUUAUCUAAGGUUAUCAUACCGUCAGAAUCUCAUACCAGACCAUGCCUAGUUCACAACAUGCGUCCUUCACUCAACAGGAAAGAGUUGACAUAAAAGCUGCUUGUGAUAGGCUUUGGUUCAUCAUGUGACUCUCAUCACCACCUGCAUUUGGUGGUUAUCAGUGUAUUUCAAAGGUACAAAACAGAUUUCAGUACUUCAAUAGGUUGGUAUAUUAACAUUAUCAGUUAAUGAAAUUACGGUAUUUAAGUUAAAACCGUAAAACCUAAAACGUCGCUACCUUAUAUUUUACGGUAGAAUUCCGGCAACCACAGCUGCCGGUUUUUUUUUACCGUAAAUUUUACGGAAUUUUUUUUACAGUGUCACUGCCUAUAUGAAAAACUAAAACUAAACGAAACUAACAACAGUAACUGAAAAACUAACGAAAAUAAAAUAAUAAUUAGCAAAAAUAAAUAAUCGUGUUCGUGAUUUUAAUAAGCUCUCAUUCUGUGCCAGAAAAUCGGACCUGUGGUGGUUUAGGGAAACAGAUGGCGCUUCAUGCACGUGAGCUGCGUCCUAAGUGGCUAUUCACAGAGAAUGCGUUUUUGCAUUUACAAAACAAGACGCGGGCUGCGAAAUGGGAAAUAAAUAACUAUAAAAUAUGAAAUGGGAAAUAAUAAUAAUGCACAUCUUACAGCGCACGAAUGUUUAAAAGCGUGCUUGACGUGCGAGAACAACAUGAGAGUGAGUUAACAGACACAGAAUUAAAAGUUUUGGAUGAGCUGACUUUAGUGAAUAGUCAUUUUGUCCCGCUUUGCGAUUACUAUGGUAACGUCCGCCUCGAGUCCAUGACACGAGCACCGCCUUGACUGUAUAAAACGCAUCCAAAACGAGAGAAAGCGAUAGCCGCGCUGUGUUUUCACCGCUGGCCGUGUUGUGUAAAAGGGACUUUAGAACUGGGAUUGAUUGCGUUGCUCAUCUGAAGCGCGUACGCGCUGGAGCGGCUAGUCAAAGUAAAGUGCAAACAUCAUUUAAAUCACCAUAUCGCAUUUAUUUUUGAGUAGUAUGAGUCUUCUUAUUGUGUACGUUUAUUGAGGGAGACGGGACAUACAGUAGUGUGCACCGGUGGCUCGUAUGUGCAAAAAAUUCAACAAAUGAAUGCAUUGAAAACACAGAUGGACAAAAAUAAAGUUUCAAUGACGACUGCAAAGAACAUGCCUGCGUCCCAAUGUGCACACUGUCCAUGCUAAAUUCUAUCUGAUAUUACUCAUUUUUAAUACUAUUUAGGGCAGAUAGGGUGGAUAGUAUGCACAUUGGGACGCAGGGCAUGUUUCCUCAAAUCCAGCACCGGAGGGCCAUUACUGUCCUGCAGAAUUUAGCUCCAACCCUGAUAAAAACUCAACUGGCUGAUGCGGUCUAGUAACUCUGAAAACUUUGAUUUGAUAACUAUUGGCAUAUUAAACAAGAUUACAUAUUUAAUAUGAAUGAAUAUGAACAUGAAUAUGAAUUAAUAAAUUGUAUACAUAUAAGUUGCGUAUUAUUUUUUUUUUUUUUUUUGUUGAAUUGUAAAGAAUUAUUUUAUUUUCAUUAUUAAGAGGUUUGCACAAGAGUUAACUGUAAACUGCAAACAUUCAACUUUGCUAAAAUUAAAUGUCUUGGUUUGUAAGUGUUCCAUUAAAGCUAUAAUUAUAUAAAACUAUAAUGUUAAACUAUAAUUACUAAAACUAAAACUGAAACUAAAAUAUAUAAAAACUAAAUAGAAAUGUAUUGACAAAAUAAAAACUAAACUAAAACUAACAAAACCAUUAAUGAAACGAACUAAAACUAAACUGAAAUUAUAGGAAAUUUGAAAACGAUAUUAAAAUAAAAACUCAUUUAAAAUUCAAAACUAUAAUAUCCUUGGUACCAGGGGCGGCGUUUGCGUAUGGCAGUUGCCAUACCCUAGCCCAGUCAGGUGCUGUGAAAAAUUAUCCAAACUUGAGUCGAUUAUAAUUCGUUUUUAUUAUUUUAAAUCAGAGAGUUUUAAAAAUAGUAAACCAAUGAUAAGCACUAAAAUAACUUGUCAGUAAAACUUCGUAACGCCAUUGGAUCAUCAAGCUCUCAGCGAGACCUCGUAACUUCACCCCGCCUCCAUUCAGACUGACGCGCCGCGCACAGCCUGGAGAAGAUGAGAUCUCUGCUUUUUCGCAAUGCAAGGGUGAAUAAAUAAUUGGUGUUUGAAUAGUACAGCGUUUUCUUUACUCAAACACUAUGUCUUUAAAGGAUAAUGUUUUUGUGUGUUUGAAGAGUGAAGAAGAAUUAGUUAUUUGCCGUCUAUAUACUUGUGUAGCCUAUCUACGUUUUAAAUAUCCUGUGCAUAAGCGCUUAAUUUGAGAUUUUGGCCAAGUGUAUUAAACAACAAGAAAAAACUAAGCGCCCAUAUAGCUACAAUCAAAGUUAUAUAACCUGUAAAAGUUGAUGAAAGCAUAUAAUGCAAUGCACUUGCUGCUUCAGAUAACAGUUACAGCCGUUCAAAUGACAGACAAAACACUCCAUCUCCGUCAUUCUCUGGUCAAAAACACUGUUAACUCCAUUUGAGCUUGAGUUGUAUCUAUACUCUUAUCAUCAAAUCUCUCUGACGAUACAUCAUUGUAUCGAUGUGUCAACACAGUACUAUUAAAAAUACACAAAUAAAACAUGUUUAUUAUGUGGCACAAGUUUGUUAUUCUGUGGCAAAAUUAUUUGGUGCCUAUUUUUGUUUCUUAUAGGAGACCAUGCCUCCUUGAGUGUUUUUUUUUUUUUUUAUCCUGACCAGGAUAACAGCAGAUUGCAGCCUUUGAUAUGGACCAUCUCCCCUUGAUUAUUAACCAAUGAAUGGGGUUGCUGCCAAGUGUUUGUUUCAUCAUUUAAGCCAAUAUUUACCUGUAUGAAGAGGACAAUGAGCACAUUUUUUGCUGCAGCUCUCAAGACAAAAUGUCGCCCACACUUGUCAAAGUAGCUCAGAGAUAAAAUAUGUGAAUCAUCAUAUAUUAGGAACAGUGUCCAGGAACUGCUGCAUGGAUAUCACUGUUUUUCCUUUUCCUUUUGUAUCUGUAUGUUUGUUAAAUUGUGCUUGACAAAGACAAAAUGCUAGUUCGAAAAAAAAAAAAAAAAAGACAAUCAUCUUUAACACAGUAACUUUUCUCGCUUUCUGUGAUAUUUGGCAUUUCUUAUUUACAUCAUUAUACAAAUAUUAUUUAAGUAAUUGGGGAUUAGAUCUGAAAAACCAAACCUACAAAAAAGUUUUUUAGGGUAAUGAAUAAAAAUGUUACACACAUAGCAAUAGCACUUAAGAAAAGCUACUUAUUACACAUGGUGUUAGGUUAGACGCAUGUUCAAGCUGCGCGGCCGCGCAGAAGAAAUAUUGUUCCGCGGCAGCCGUGCGCACCCAAAAAAAUUAAUUUGGAAGUAAUUUGAUUGAAUUCUAGAAAAAGCGAAAGAAUAGCAAUACUCGGGCAAACCGCUAUAGAGCUGGUGCCGCAAUAGAGUUAGAAACGGUGAAUGCGGUUUACAGGUUUUAUAUAAAGAAGAUGAUGUGCGCCAAAUGAGUCGCUGUAGAAACCGAAUACUUCAAUGGUUGCGGACGAAAGAGCUCAAAUCGAGAGCCAACGUCCUCAUGUAUUAAAGAAGAGUGGCUUGAUUAAGUGCUGGAAAUAGCGGAGGAUGGGCACAGAACGGUAACAAAACUCUGAGACAUUUACAGUCACACACAGGUGUAUUGUGCAAACUGUACUUCAUAGCGAUGUUUAGAUAACUAUAUAAGAAUUCACGUUCACGGUUUUUGAAAAUAUUUAACUUACAGAUCUCAGUUUAAGUUUUGCUUCAGUUUUCUAUUCUAUUCUAUCAGUUUAAAUGCUUUAGUUUGCUUUGAUAUAUUAUGUUAGGCCUAUAUUAUAAAUAAAUAAUUGACCUUGUUUUUAAUGGAGUCUCUUGCUCAUCAAGGCUGUAUUUAUUUCAAAAAUACAAAAAAAAAAAGCUGAAUUUUCAGCAUCAUUACGCCAGUCUUCAGUCAUGUGAUCCUUCAGAAAUAAUUCUAAUAUGUUGAUUUAUUAUCAGUGUUGCUGAUCUAAUUUGCUGAUUUACAACAGUGAAACUGUUGUGCUGCUUAAUAUUUUUUGGAACCUGUUACGUUUUUCUUUGAUUCUUCGAUUAAUAAAAAGUUAAAAAGAACAUAAUUUAUUCAAAAUAGAAAUCUGUUCUAACAAUAUAUGUCUUUACUAUCAAUUUUAUCCAUUAAAGUCUCUUUAAAUUUCUUUAAACUUUUUUUAAAGUUUCUUUAAAAAAUAAAAAAAUUUUUUUUUUUUUUUUUUUUUACUGACCCCAAACUUUUGAAUAUUGUAACACAAAAUCUCUAUUUUGAAUAAACACUGUUCUUUUUAACUUUUUAUUUAUCAAAAAUAUCACAGGUGCCAAAAAAUAUUAAGCAGCACAACUGUUUCCAACAUUGAUUAAAAAUCAGCAUAUUAGAAUGAGUUCUGAAGGAUCAUGUGACACUGAAGACUGGAGAAAUGAUGCUGAAAAUUCAGCUUUGCUUCACAGGAAUAAAUUAUACUUUAAAGUAAAUUAAAAUAGAAAUAAUAUUUCACAAUUUAAUUUUGUGAAAUAAUAUUCAGCAUUUUAUUAUCAAAUAGAUACAGCCUUGAUGAGCAUAAGAAACUUUACUGAUCCCAAACUUUUGAACGGCAGUGUACUAUACUGUAAAAAAUGUUUUCUCAGGUAAUAUAAAUAGCACAUUAAAGUUAAAAGUUACACACUUUUUUGUGUGUGUGCACUGUACAGGGUAUAAAGAAUGCUUCUGCUCAGGUGCCCGAAAUGUCCGCCCAAUAGAGAGAGGUUUUGCUCAGCAAGAAAGAAAAAAAAAUAGAGGGAACCCUGAUUAGAGGUGCAAUUGAUUUCAAAACUAAAUGACAUACACAACCAUUUUACUAACAUAUGACUUCUAUUAAGACUCCCAGGAUAAUAAACAGGAAAAAAUCCAAAGGAAAUUUACUGGACUGUAAAAAGUGGUCUCUGUGUGAAUUUUAUUGAAUAAUUUUAAGAUGAGGAGUGUUAUCUAAUACGGUGUGCUGGUUACAAUAAGAUCCAGAACAUGUCAAAUAGGUUCUGUUCCACUGAUCUAUCUAUAAUAGAGAACGGAAUUGCUCGUGAAAGUGAAGCCGCCGCGCCGCCAUAUUGGUUUUCCCCACUAUUCCAAUACAUUCCAUUGAAUUAAUAGGAAAUCGUACGAAUUUAAUGAGAAAACGUCACCUAACAAGUCAGCGUUUUUAAAUCUGAAGUAGGCUAUCCUUGUACAUUCUUACAAUGCAAACACCCUUGGCAUGUAAACGUCAAAUUUCCCCUGCUUAUUAAAAAGUUACGUUCAUUACAGUAGCGAACAUCAGAUGAACAUGAUAAACAUCAGACGGACACGACCUCAACAUAUAUAGGCCUAUAACAAAUGACAAAAGUGCUCAUUCUGAAAUCUGAAGAUUUAUGCUUUAUAUAACAGUUAGGCUACACAUACCUUCAUUCGCCUUGUAGUUAUUCAUUGUUUAGGCCUAUGUAAUUUUGUUAUAGUGUUUUUAUUUGUACAGUAUAAGCUUAGCCUACUGCAAAUGUUUCAACAAUGAUUUCGUUAACAGCAUUCGUUUUGAAGCAGGUAAUUAUUUAAAUGGUGGUUAAAUUAAUUAUUAAUUUAGCAUAGCCUACAUAAUAUUUUAUUAAACGGUGGUUAAAUUAAUUAUUAAUCUAGCAUAUACAUAACAUUUUACAUGGAAACCGUACACAUUUGCGCGAUCUUGGAGAGCCUGAAAUAGAUGCUGCUCAAUCAGGACAUUAAAAAUAUACACAUCAUAAUUUAUUCAGAGAAAUAGCUGACUAACUUUACAUACAGUACGGAUUUAAAGACAUGAAGCUUCAUUUCCAAGAUAAUGCAUGGUAAGUUGCUUUUUAUUUCAGUACCAACAUAGAGCAAUAAAGUAACAUGCUAUUGUGUUAUUCAUUGUAUAUUCAAAUCAAUUUCUGAUACAAUACGUUCAUGUUUAAUAAUUCCUGAAUAAUUCCGUGCAUAAAGAAAUUGCAUGCCUAUAUUUUGUGUUGGAUCAGUUAACGUUACCUCUGUGUGUUGGCAGGGCGCAGCAGACACACCCACCUAAACGAUUUAAAUAUAGGCCUAUCGCUUAUCCUGCCCAAAAAUACCUUAAACAUUGGCGAUAACAUCUGAAGUAAAAAUGAAUUUACAUACACCUAACAUAAAAUCUAAUCCCGUGUGACUGAUUGGCUUCAAAUCGGGUGAUUUUAGGUCAGUGUUUUAGCUGUGACUCAAUGGUGCCCUCUGCCGGUAGUGAAUAGUAAGAUGGCGGCUCGAACACUUCCGGUGGCUUCACUGCCCGUCGGCAGUUUAGAACGCAAUGAGCGAUCCAAUCAUAAUAUAUAAAUCAGCGGUCUGUUCUCAUUUCAUGUGGGGACCAGAUCAUGAAAAACUGUUUUCAAAUUUCAAAUUAAAAAUGUUUGACGAAUCAUAUAGGCCUAUUUUAAAACUUUCAAAAAAUACUUCCCAUCCAUGGUGGCUAUUUAUUGAUGCUUAGCUGUGAAAAUGAUUUAUUGAAAUCUACAAGAUUGUGAUGCAAUGUCUAUGAGCACAUUUGCACAUUAACACCUAUUCAGUAUUCAGUAACUCUUCACCUCUGCAUAGCCUUCCAAAGAUCUCAGUGUAAGGGCUAUGACAGCAAAUCAAUACUGAGAGGAAAUGUAAUUAAAAACGGUUAAAAACGAGAAUCAUUAGCCUACCAACUGUGUGCUACAGUAUUGCAUGUAGAACCUUCAUCACUGAAGUCACUUUACAGGGGGAAAAAGUGCAUUUAGAAACAGCAAAAAACCAAAGGGUAAGUUCCUGCAAAAAAAAAAAAAGGGGGUAUAAAACUAGUUGAACAAAGCAUGGGCUCGGCACUUUAAAUUGGUCACUUCAAGAAAGGUCAUAAGCAUAUGGUUUCAUGUGGCAAGUUUGCCAUGUCAUGUGCUUCUAGGCAGCCUGUGUUGUUAACUGCAGUGAUGGACGGUGGGGAAGCACAAGUAAUUGUACACUAAACAAUGAACCUUGCUCAAAGUGUUCAAAAUGAGCCUAUAUUACAAUAUAAACAAAAUGGCAAUAUUCCAGGGGCAAGAUAAUAAACAUUAAACCCACACGUUGCAAUGGAAUACCUAGCCACUUCUCUAUAUAUCUUCGAUUGUGGGGUGCACUCUGCACUGUAUGUCUGCAUUUUUAAUAUCAUAAUUUCAGUAAUGUACAUUUCAAUAACUCAUUUCCAACCCAUUUGAUGGCCCAAUUAUCAUAAAAAGAAUCCAGAUUUCCAGAUUUGAAAAAAAAAACAAAAGAAACCUUGCAUCGAUUGAAAGCCCAGUAGACAAAAAAGCAAGCAGAUGUUUUUUUCCACAGCAAACAGUGCACAUAACACUCUCACUGACUCCUGCUGAAGCACACAGGUGGCACCUAAAACUACUUAUUUGGAUGCUACUGCCCAAUAAACACUGACUUUUGCAGCACUAACAUCAAUGGUACACGUAUCUACCAUCUACUAACAGUGAAUUUGCAGUCCUACUUAGAAGUGAAUAGCAUAAGUUUAUUUUUACCAAGUUAACUCAGAAAUAUUUUUCCUUAAAAAGAAAAAAUUCUGUCAUUAUUUAAUCAAGCUGUUGUCAUAAAGCCAUCACUCAAGUCAAAUGUGCAAUUUUUUUAAACCAUGUGAAUGAGAUUUCAGAGCUUCAACAGAGAGAAAUAUUUGAUUUUCUUUCUAUUUCUCUCACAAAGCUGUUAUACACUUUAGAGGUCAUAUGCACUAUUUUAUGGUGAUUUUUAGUGUUUGACAGCGACGGUCACUAUGAACUCAUUUUAUGGGAAGAGCUUGGAAAGAUUUUUCAAACAUUUUCAAUUUUUGUCUUGUACAGAAAGAUUAUUUUUGAAACAACAUGAGGGUGAGUAAAUAUUGAUAAAUGUGUUCAUUUUUCCUGUCAUCAUAUACUCACCCUUAUGUUGUUUCAAACAUGUAUGAUUUUUUUUUUUUUUCCUCUUUGGAACACAAAGGAACAUAUUUUUAAGAAUACUUGAGUCCAAACAACACUGGGCCCCACUGACUUCACUGCUUGAACGAACAAACAAAAUAUUUUUCAUGUUCACAGAAGUAAGCAAGUAAAAAGAGUUUGAAAGGACAUGCAAGUUGAUCAUUUAUGACAGAAUUUUCAUUGUUGAGUGAAUUAUCCCUUGAAGCAAUCAUUUGUUCUAAGCCAUGCUGGUGUGUCGUGUGCCUUAAGCACUGCAGUUCAGCACGUAAGACACACUUUAAAUGACUGCUGUAACUACACCUAAAAUAGUCAUUUGUAAAUAAAAACACUUUGUCUGAGGGUUCUCAGAUCUCUAGUGCAAUGGGGCUACAGUGAACUCUUUUAGGGUUCUCGGUACAAGCCCCAUGUUGCUACCUUGAACACUUUGUAAAGAACCUUUGCCUUGUUUAGAAUGCUGUUUGACUAGAACUGAAUUUGACCGAGGUGUACUUCAGAUUAUUACAUAACAGAGAUACAGAAAAACUCUCACAACCCCACAUCCCCUCUCUCUACCUCUUUGUCACGGUCUCUCCCACUCAUAGACACACAAAUAAAUACGAACAAAUUUGUGCCACUAACCCAGCUAUCUACCUUCAGUGGUCAUCCAGCAGUUCACAGUUUGUCUAUAUUUUUGCACCAGCCAAUCAUCAAAGUAACUGCUUAUUAAAAAUUUUUGGUAACACUUUAUUUUAGGGUCUCUUAACUAGUUGCUUAUUAGCAUGCAUAUUACUAGAAUAUUAGCCAUUUAUUAGUAGUAAUUAAGCACAUAUUAAUACCUUAUUCUAUAUGACCUUAUUCUACAUCCCUACAUCCCUUAUUCUACAUCCUACCCAAUACCUAAACUUAACAACUAGCUUACCAACUAUUAAUAAGCAGCAAAUUAGGAAUUUAUUGAGGGAAAAGUCAUAGUUAACAGUGAAUAAGUGUUCCCUAUUCUAAAGUGUUACCAAAUUUUCAAUGUUUUCAAAAGAAAAGUCACCUUAAAUUAUAGCUAGUUGUCAAGUAGACUACCAUAACCAUCACAAAAGAUUAAUAUGGUGAACUGUACAUUUAAGUACGAACAAUUCUUACUCAAAUAAAUGAAGUGUACCCUUGAACUUUGUUGUGGUAUUCACAAACCACUUUUUUGCCUAAAUGUGGCCUCAUGUUGUAAGAUUCAUGUUCAGAAGAUUUAUUAUGUGAUAUCAGGUCAAGACCAGUGUAAAGUCCCUCACACUUUGUCUCAUUAUUUAGGUCUCUGUGUGUCAGUUCCAUGUUCUGGCUGGUGUCUGAAACCAUAUUUUUCGCAAAGAUCAAGUGGUUUUGCGUCCAACUCAAACCAAAAAGAUUCAAAGGUUAAACACACAACUAAGCUCAAAUUCCUUUCAGGAAAAAAAACACACGCCGUACAAACUAAAACACAGCCUCGGACAAAAUGCUCGCUUAACUUAUGGUUCAGAUUGACGCACCAAAUUUUCAGUCAGAUUCUUUAGACAAAUGCAGAGACACACAAGUGUUUUUCUCUGUAUAGUCUUAAUUUAAGGUAAAGUUUCUUUUCAGCUUGCACAACAUUUCAUUAAUGUUCUGCUUUUGUUCCAGCCAGUGCAGGUCUAAUUGAAACCAGUUUUUUAAAACAGCCAUCCCACUGUUCAGUGAAGUCAAAUUGCAUUUAUAAUUAAAGAGUACAUUGUUAAACCACAAAUGAUGAGAGAUCAAAAUAACCAAAUAGUAAAACACAAAUGCUUAAACUGUCAGUUUAUGCAAUGCAAUUUAACUAAUGCCUAUCAAUUAAAAUGCAUAGCAUGACCGUUGGACCUGCAUGUCAGUGUAUGAAUCAAAAUGUUGCCUUUCCAUGUAUAGUUUGUUGGUGAUUAAAUGAAUGAGAACGGGAAUACAGAGAAGUUCAAGGAUAAGAGCUUUGAAGCGCUUGGCAUGGUGUCUUUGCGUUUGGACACAACUGUGUGGGGUUGCCUUGAUGGCAGUAUCCCUGGACCCAGCUACCCUGAGGGAGGAGGCUGACUAUGAGUCAGUGGAUUUUAUCUUUGGAUAAAAGCGUCUGCUAAAUGAAUAAAUGUAAAUGUGUGUUAAUGUGUACAGCUGUCUCUGUGUACUGGUUUACUUGGCUGCAGUCAUAAAGAGAGGAACUUCAAGCAAAUUAAGGCUUCCUUUAGUAAUUACAAUUUAAUUUAAUUCCUAACUAAGAAAAUGGUCUUGAAGCAACUGAUCCCAAUCCAUUAAUAGAAAACCAAUAAGGAACAUUCCUAUACAGAACUGAAACUGAACACAACCAGGGGCCAUGCGAAAGUACUGGGGUCCGUAGAGAAAACUUCUAAAACAAAGCCUUUUCUUUAAAAUAUUUCACUACAUCUCUGACUAUUUUAUUUGAACUAAUCAUCUAAUGAGCAUUAUAUAGGCCUAAUGUUUUUUGUUGUUGUUGUUUUUGUUUUUUUUUUUUUCAUACAUUAAAUGUAAGUUUUCUUAAAAUGUUAUGAAGAAAAUUUUGACUUUUUAUUCUGGGGGUCCCUGUGAUAGCUGAAUGGGAGAUCCCAGGGUCGGUACAGGUUGGAAUCCCCUUCAAAAGUAAUUGCUCUCCAAAUGAGUGCAUAUGGUCCUGUGCAUCGUUUCUUGCUAAGUGCAGUUAGGCAUUAAUUCAUCAUAUUAAAAUAAAUAUAGACUGUACAACAUUAAACAUUUCUACAAGUCGGGCAAACUUUUUCCCUGUCCUCCGUACAGUCGCAUGUCGGUGUACAAAGACGCGUGUUAUUUUAAUGCGCGCCAUUUUAAUUAACUUUAUCAACGUAAUAAAAUGGUUGUAGUAAAUUCGUGUGGAAAUAAAAAAACACAGAGGUGCCCCC